CAGGACGGCUCGGACUCAAGGCUCCAGAGCAAGGUUCAAGGGCAGACACAGGGGUCUCCACCCACGGGACACAGAAAAACUGAAGUAAACGGCGUGGGGACAGGAAAGGGGGCGGCGACCCCACUUAGCUGCAGCCCCCGAGGGGCCAGGCCGGGAACCAAGGAGACCCCCGGGGGAAGCCGCGGCUCCAGCGCUGGGUGGGGAUCGGGCGGAGGCCGCCGGGCCCCAAGGGGGUCAGCGCGACCUCCAUCUCCAGCCGCGCGCUGGUUGUCCCCAGACCUCCAAAGCAAUCUUCCCCCCACCCGCCACCCCCCGGCCCUGGGUCCCACCACAGCGGUCAGGUCCUGUACAGUUUUGGGGUCUGUUUCCGCCAUUGCUCCGGCUCCAGACUUCAGUCGGUUUCCCAACUCGUCUCUAUGGCCAAUGUUUUCAAGAACAAAGCACAAACAUCUCAAUAUGAAUAGUAUGAAUACUCAACUGUCUUCAAUGAAGGUGAAAUCUAUAUGGGAAUGAAGUCAAAAGUUUAGUUUUAGAGACAAUUGUCCUAUCAUAGUUUGACAUUUUGUUAUAUAGCUAAACAUAAUAUGUGCUUCAUCAGUAGGAUACAGAUGAAGAUGAAUGGACUUUGGAGUGAAUAUGGCAAUUUAAAAAAUAGAUAAUUCAUAUUUUGGACCAGAUUUUCUUAGCUCUUUGGACAACACAUAUCAGUUUCAAAUAUAAGACUAUUGUAUUACUGGCAUGGGCAUUGUACCCCCAGAAACUCAGGCAAACUAUUAUCAGGGAAAUUCCUCUGCUCCCUUAGGCCCUCCUGAUUCCCAACCCAAAACACCUGAUCUUGGAGAUUACCCUCCUUUGAUUGCCCCAUUGAAUUGAGAUGAACAAAAAGACACUCCUCAUUCAUUCAUCCUCCCAAUCAUGAGAACCACUCCCAUGCCCUCCAGCUAAUCUCCCCUACCUACCCCUUGCUCCAGAGUCAUGUCAGAAUAUAAAAACCCCAUAAUGGAGGCAUUAGGGAUUGCAACCCCCCAGGUUGUUCCCCUAAUGUUGUCUUGCUGUCCAAAGAUUUAACAUUACUACUAAAUGUCUCUCUUUACUUUUAAGCUAAGUUUCAGAGUCUUGCAUUCUUGUGAAAUGUAUCCAC
rnacentral:lncRNA from 1 species